UUAGAGAGACAUGGGAGAGAGAUGCAAAAUUCAUCAUGGAAAAGGAAAAAAAUAGGCAUUCAGGGAUGGGAGAGAUCUAAUAGUGUAUCUAUUUAGCUUACAGAUUUUCAUUUUGACUUCUUGAUUUUGAUAAUUCUCUUGUGGAAAGAGAACAAUGUAGGGCUUUGUGAACUUCCAAUAAUUUUUGCACAAUUGUAUAUUAAAAUGAUUUUCAAGAUAAAGGAGCAUGGUAGUUAAGGUGUUAUUCUUCUCGUAUGACAGAGGGUGAACCUGGAGCACAAAGAGAUCAAACAAGUCAUCAAGAUCAUAGAGUUGGAGAAGUGAUGAGCAUGUAUGUAACUAGUUUGUGUCUGGCUUGCAACCUUCGUUACAAGGAUUGGACGGUGAUCAGGCACAACAGACAUUCAGACAAAGUCCUACUUGCUCUCGGUCCUUGUUUGAAAUACUAGGGAAUGACUACAUUAUGCCCAACAUAACCCGAGGGGAGAAGUCAUAAUUUAAAAUGUGCAGAGCUAGGUGAGGUACGAAAACUUCAUUUACUUGCUUCAACCCAGUGGCCAACCAGGAAACAAUGAGCGGCGGACCUUACUAAACUUCAAAUGGGAGGGUCUGGAUUCCGAAAUGUAAUUCUACCCACAGGGCUUCUAUGCUUCAUUACUACAAAUAUCAUUAAUAAUGAAAUAUAUAAUGACAGACAGUUACUAAUGCAAUAUAGUCCCUUAAAUGAAAGUGAAAAAUUGGCAAUAAUGUAUUUUAUUACAUUCAAAGAAGGCUUUAGGUGGCUGGGCUCUGGCUUAGAUUUGCUCUUGAUGAUUAGUAGUUUAGCUCUCUGAAUUGAAAAGGGUCAUUUUUAUUAUUGGGAAAUAGUUCUCUAAGACUUAUUCCUUUUGAGUAAUGCAGGAAAAUUACGACUUUAGCUUAACUAUAUCAGUAUCCGGGCUCUUUGAUUAAAAUAUUUACACUGUUGUUGGAUUCUAUAUGAUAAAUACUUAUAAUUAGAAGUUUAAGUAACAAUGUAGCAAUUCCACCCCCCAAAAAAAAACAGGCCCUCGAUUAAAUUAUAAAUAAAGUCACAGCAUAGUAUAUGAAAAUAGAUAAUACUAUGACAUUCUACUUGUAUUUAUGUUACAUACUAGAAGAAUAUCACCAAGAUUUCAAAUAUUUAAAUUAGGAAGAAAUUGUCUUCUCCUAUGUUUAUGUAAUGUAGAAAUAAUGAAAUAAGCCUGCUCAAAGAGCCUGCAUAAAGAAAUGUGCAGCCUGCCCAACAGUUACAUGUAUAAGAGGGGCAAGAAAUAGUAAACUACAAAAAUAUCAUCUUAGCACCCUGGAGUUCAACAUAGGGAAGGAAAGUGUGUUAUGAUGCUUUGUGUGACUCGAGUGCUUUGUUAUACCUUGAUGCAUAAUUUACGGCCACUCCUUCCUCCAGCUCUUAAAACAAAUCUUACAAAAAAUGUUCUCUGCAUUCAGUACAGGACCCCUGAAAAGUACUUGUAAUGAAAGCCUUUCCAUUUAAUGGUUAAAAACAAGGUAAAUAGAAUUUAUGGCUGUCCAGGGCCCAAUUAAACUUCCAUUCAAACUUGUCCUGACUGGAAAAUAAAUUACAUAAGGAUUCUGAAUACGGUUUUUACACACUUGGGGGGUGGGGGACAAACAUCUGUGGAGAGCUGUGAUUUAUAAAGUAUUGAUUUCUUUGUUAAAUAAUGAAUUAGAUGUCCUACCACAAUAUUAUUUAUCAAACUUUUUGUCAUAUAAUUAAAUUGUCACAUAAUGGAUUGUCCCCAUAUAGAUUCAUUAAAUAUUAAAAACUACAUGUGACACCACUCACCUUAUCUUUGGCUAACAACACUUUUCCUCUGUUCUUUUCCAUUAAGGUCAAUAAUGGCAGCUGCCAUCCACAUUAUUGAAGCUGUAACCUCUGCUUCCCAGGGCUACAGAAACCACAAACACAUUCCUUUAGCUUAAGCAGGAAAACCCCCUCAGUAGCUGGAAUUACCCACACUUGGAAAUCAAGUCCUUGCAUGGCAAACAUUCCAUUGAAUUCAAGAGAAGUUAUAAAAUCAACAUAAACAAAAAAGUUUGGCAUUAAAAUUAGAUUUCCAUGUGUCUGAGUCCUCCUCCCCUUAAUCACCCCUGACUUUUCUUAGAACAUUUGCUUAUAGCCUAUAUUGUCCUGGCUCCCUCCCUGAAACACCCCUCCCAUCCACUAGCCUGACUCUCCAUAUAUUAUAACUAUAGCCACCCACAAAGUGUCACCAGCUGCAUAAAUGUGUUUCCAUCUUCCCCUGAUCACUAACCCAUAUUCCCACGUGUGCUGACCUCCCCUCAGGAGUAACUGAAGCCUUGCCAUAAUUAAUACUUGUUGUGGCCACGUAAUCCAUUUCCACCCAUCCUACCCCACAAGUAUAAUAGAGUCCUGUUUCUCUCCACUUGACACUCACGAGCUGACAUUGUUUUGGAAGUAAAUCCAUGCAUCCCAUUAAACUGUAUCCACAGCUGGACAGAGCGGUCUCAUGUGGACGAGAGAUGCUGAGGCAGUUAACAAUAUAGGCUAGCAGUAAUUGAAUGCUUAAUAGUCUCAGGUAUUAGACUAAACUUUAUUACUGUUCCCAUGGUAAUUUGUUUAAUUUUUAAUGUUACAAACUUUAUCAUUUAAAAAAAUACUCAUGCAAAUAUAAAUAUCACAAAGCAAAAUGAACAAGACCCCAAGUAUACCCAGUUCAAUCAACUUCUGUACAGUUAGAACAGACAACUGGAAUAAAGCCUGGGGCUUUACAUUAAACCUUACACUCUCAUUAUUACGUGUAUUUCAAGUAUUUGCUCAACACAGGAAAGGAGAUAAUAUAAAGUCAAUUGUUUUCUGGCUAUAAUUUUUCCAUAGUUCUUUAAAAAAUUGGUGGUAGAUAGGAACAUAGGCUAAACUAGUACAUGCAUGUUCUUAGUCUAUCAUCAUGGCAACCUAACAGAAUGUGUACUGACAGUUUUCUUGUUUCAUUCUCGAGGAGGCUAUAGAUUAAAUGUAAUCCGUCAUAUGCUGAUGUUACAGUACUCAGAAAUGACAGUAGAAUGUAGGCAACAAGUAUAUCUGCUUUCAGAAUCUAUUUAUAUUUGUACUUCAGUGCUCCUCUGUGAAUAGGAAAAAAAAAAGUAUAACUAGAGGACUGAGGACCGCAGGAAUUAUCAGUUCUGGAAUUUCUGUGUUUGGUUAAGUGUGUGAGUGUGUGUGUGUGUGUGUGUGUGUGUGUGUGUGUGUGUGUGUGUGUGUGGUUAUAGCAUAGGCUAUCUGAAAGACCAGAAUGUUCAUCUUCUAGUAAUGAAUAAGAGGACAGUGAGUGUAGCUUGGUUAGGAUAGUGUUUGUCUAGUAGGUUGAAGCUGAGGCAUCCACUAUCAACAAGGCAUAAACCAAUGAUAAUGGCCACAACCAUAAUCCCAGGGUUUGGAAGUUGGGUGCAAGAUCAGGUGUUUACAUUCAUCCUUGUCUACAUAGUGGGAUUCAAGCCAGCCAAAAAUACACGGACACCCUUUAUCAAAAACAGUAAACCAGCAAGAAAAGCAAGGAGAAUUUUUAAAAAGAUAAAGAUGGAUUGGGAACAGGAGUAAGGCUAUUAUCUUCUGAAAGCCUACAUUAAAUAUACUUGUGAGUCUCUGGGCCAACUGAACUCUCUCUCUCUCUCUCUCUCUCUCUCUCUCUCUCUCUCUCUUUCUUCUUCUUCUUCUUCUUCUUCUUCUUCUUCUUCUUCUUCUUCUUCUUCUUCUUCUUCUUCUUCUUCUUCUUCUUCUUCUCUCUCUGUGUGUACCACUCUGUCUCUCUCCCCUCUGUCUCCUUACCCUCCUUUCUGUCUCUGUCUGUCUCUGUCUCUCCCUCUCUCUCUGUAGCAGAAUUUUCUUCAGAGAUUUAGAAAGAAGGCUGCAAGCCACAGGGUAUUUUAGAACAUUAAACAGAGUGAGGCACAAUCCACAACUUGAAGAAUUUCUCUAGUCACCACAGAAAUGGACACAAGUGCUGCAAGGAACAUUUCUAAUGAUCUUUCUGUAAAGAGCAACAGAGAGGACUGUUAGCUUUAAGGACAAACUUCAUGAAAGAAGUGGCACUAGAGAACUAUAGAUAGAAACUGAAGAAAUAGAUCAUUUAAAAGCAUUCAAAGCAGCCAUACGUCAAACUAAUGGGUAACAGAGGGCUAGCUUGGUUUAAUGAAUAAGGAAGGGAACCCAUCCAAGGAAGAAGACUUAGGGAAAUUCAUGAAAAUUAAAAAAAAAAGAAAAAAGAAAACCAAAACAAAACAGAAAAACAAUAUUAGAAUGGCAUUUUGUGAUCACUAGGUCAUUAUUCAUCUUCAAUCAUUCAUUAGUUUAUCUCUUCACAAAGCCUACCUGGUGGGUACAGGAAGAAUCCUCAGCUCCUUUGUUUCACUAGGAGGCUGCUCAUGUAGGCAGUAGAAAGAAGAAAGCAGACAUGUGUUGCAGAGAGGCUGGAAGAUGAGGCUCAUGGCUUCCAACAGGACUCCUAAGGAAACUGGGUUCUUUUGACCAGUUUAAGAAAGGCAAUAGUGUGAUUUGUAUAGAGAUAAGUGGUAUGAAUUGUGUAUCAGCUUAAGGAGUAGAUGUGAAAAAAGAAAGUUUCCAGGCAUAUGGUGGUCCCCUUGUAGUCAUAGAAGCCAGAAUUGUUGAGACAGAAUGACUGAUUGGAUAGCGGGUCUGGGAAGGAGUGAUAAGCUGCUAGUAUUCACAGGGAGAAAAGAUAUUGAAAGGGAUAUUGAAUGUUUGUAAAGUGUUCAGAUUUUCUGUGGAGGAGGUGGGUCUAGGUCUAUCAUUUGUGGAUACAGCACAGGCUCUGAUGCACCAUCCUGCCACUUCUCUUAAGUCUGUCAGAUACCGGUAAGAAGGACACAUGCUCCACUAUGUUCAUAGCAGCCUUAUUUAUAAUAGCCAGAAGCUGGAAAGAACCCAGAUGCCCCUCAACAGAGGAAUGGAUACAGAACAUGUGGUACAUUUACACAAUGGAGUACUACUCAGCUAUUAAAAAGAAUGCAUUUAUGAAAUUCCUAGGCAAAUGGAUGGACCUGGAGGGCAUCAUACUGAGUGAGGUAACCCAAUCACAGAGGAACUCACACAAUGUGUACUCACUGAUAAGUGGAUAUUAGCCCAAAAACUUAGGAUACCCAAGAUAUAAGAUACAUUUUGCUAAACGCAUGAAACUCAAGAAGAAUGGAGACCAAAGUGUGGACACUUUGCCCCAUCUUAGAAUUGGGAACAAAACACCCAUGGAAGGAGUUACAGAGACAAAGUUUGGAGCCGUGAUGAAAGGAUGGACCAUCUAGAGACUGCCAUAUCCGGGGAUCCAUCCCAUAAUCAGCUUCCAAAAGCUGACACCAUUGCAUACACUUAUUGCCUAUAAAUGUAACUUAUUCAUGAUACGUCAAUGAUAGGUUACCUAGUUCAAUUAAAUAUGAGUCUUCGAGUAAGGCUUUUCCUAAAAUGCCUGGUUCACUGUGAAUGCUGAGUUGAAAGUUUUCCAUGAUGCAGAUAAACACACGUGGGUUCCAGCUCCGUUGCUUUGGUGGCUCAUUUCCUGACUAAUGGAGAAUCAGAAAUGUGUAUACUCACCAUUAAGAUGGUUGGUUGCAUGUACAUACCAAAUAGCAUACAAUAAACACAGAUUAUUAUUUGAGCAGAAAAUUUAAUAGGAAAAAUUAACAACGCAUAAAUUUAAAAAAAGUAAUUAUUUUAUUUAUUUACAGUUACCCCUCCAAGAACAAUCCCCCCUCUCCUUGGCCUCUAAGAGGAUGCACCCACCCACACACUCCCACGUCAUCCUCCAGCAUCCCCCUUCUCUGGGGCCUCAAGCUUCCACAGGUCCAAGCACAUCCCCUCCCACUGGUACCAGAUAAGGCAGUCCUCACAUACCAGGAGCCACAAACAUAUCCAUGUAUGCUCUUUGAUUGGUGGUUUAGUCUCUGGGAGCUCUGAGAGGUCCAGUGAAUUGAUAUUGCUGUUCUUCCCAUGGGCUUGCAAUCCCCUUCGGCUCCCCUAACUCUUCCAUUGGGAUCCCCAGGCUCAGUUUGUUGGUUGGCUGUGACUUUCUGCAUCUGUCUUGGUCAGGUGCUGGCUUAGCCUCUCAGAGGACAUCCAUGCCAAGCUCCUGUCUGUAAGCUCACCUCAGGAUCAGCAAUAGUGUCUAGGUUUGGUAUCUGUGGAUAGGAUGGAUUCCAAAUUGGGCUGGCCUCUACAUGGCCUUUCUUUCAGCCUCUGCACCAUUUCUUGUCCAUCCAUUUUAUUUAAACAAGAACAAUUCUGGGUUAAAAUUUUUGAGAUGGGUGAAUGACUCCAUCCCUUAACUGGGGACCACGUAUAUCUACUGGAGGUACAUUUUUUAUUUUUAACUGGGAAACUAAACAGACAAUGAAAGAAUUCUAAAGGCUUUCAAAAUUAGCAGUUUGAUUUAUUCCUCCUGCCACUAUGGUUGUAGUAACAGAAGAUGGCAGUGAUUGCACUCUGACUCACAGGUGGGCAUGACACUAAAGUUCUGGGGUCUCAGAGUGUGAAAACCGCAGACGAGGCAGGGAUGAUAUGGGGAUAAGGUUAGGAGUCACAUAGCCUGGAAUCCAGGUCUCAGAAAAGAUCCUACAAGGCAUAUGCUAAUGUCUUGGGGGAAGUCUCAGUGUAGAUCAUUUGCCAGCAUUGGGGGAACAAAACUGUUUUUGGAUGGUUCUGGUCUAAGAAUUUGUCACUACCAAGUGAAGAAACUUCCAAGAAUUGAAAGUACCAAGCUCCUCCUCCUCUGCCUCCAGCUUCUAUUGUUUUCCCUCUCUGCAGAGCCUCAUAGGAAAAACCAAACCAAAGCAACCAACCAGACAAAAACUCCUCAACAUGGCUAAGACCAGUACAGUACAGUUCUAACCUUACACGAUAAGAGUAUUCAAACAUGACCAAGUGCUAAGAUGCACCUAGAGCAACAGAAUGCACUUUAAGAAAAAAGAAAAGAAAGAAGGAAGGAAAGAUACGGAGAGGAGAGGAGAGGAGAGGAGAG
rnacentral:lncRNA from 1 species